AUCUUGACCUCAGAUCAGGCAAGGCUACCCGCUGAAUUUAAGCAUAUUAAUAAGCGGAGGAAAAGAAACUAACAAGGAUUCCCUCAGUAACAGCGAGUGAAGCGGGAACAGCUCAAAUUUGAAAUCUCCGGCGCUUGCGUCGGCGAGUUGUAGUUGCGAGAAGCACUUUCUAGGCGGAUCGGUGGUGYCUAAGUUGCUUGGAACAGUACGUCAUAGAGGGUGACAACCCC
rnacentral:rRNA from 1 species